AGAGUAGCGGGCUCGGUGCCCUGUCCUCCUCCGCCUUUUGCUCCCUCGGAGUGCGCUCUCUGCGGCUCUGCGAGCGUCCCUGAGCGCGGGCAGCGGCCACCGUGGGUUCGUCAGGUUAUCUUAUGAUGAAGCUUUUGCUAUGGCUAAUGACCCCUUGGAAGGGUUCCAUGAAGUAAACCUUGCUUCACCUACUUCUCCGGAACUUCUUGGUGUGUAUGAAUCGGGAACUCAGGAGCAGACUACCUCACCAAGUGUCAUCUACCGGCCACAUCCUUCAGCUUUAUGCUGUGCCCCUGUCCAGGCUAAUGCAUUAGAUGUUUCUGACCUUCCUACACAACCUGUGUAUUCGUCCCCCAGACGUUUAAAUUGUGCAGAAAUAUCUAAUAUCAGCAUCCAUGUUACGGACCUAGCACCUUGUUCUACCUCUGGAGUCACAACUAAAUUAACUACGAGAAAGGACAACUGUAAUGCAGAGAGAGAGUUUUUACAAGGUGCUACUGUAACAGAGGCUUGUGAUGGCAGUGAUGAUAUUUUUGGGUUGAGUACUGAUAGUUUGUCCCGUUUACGAAGCCCAUCUGUUUUGGAAGUCAGAGAAAAGGGGUAUGAAAGAUUAAAAGAAGAACUUGCAAAAGCUCAAAGGGAACUGAAGUUAAAAGAUGAAGAAUGCGAAAGGCUUUCUAAAGUACGAGAUCAGCUUGGACAGGAAUUGGAAGAACUCACAGCUAGUCUGUUUGAGGAAGCUCAUAAGAUGGUGAGAGAAGCAAAUGUCAAGCAGGCAACAGCAGAAAAACAGCUAAAGGAAGCACAAGGAAAAAUUGAUGUACUUCAAGCUGAAGUAGCUGCAUUGAAGACACUCGUAUUGUCCAGUUCUCCAACAUCACCUACGCAAGAGCCUCUGCCAGGUGGAAAGACACCUUUUAAAAAGGGGCAUACAAGAAAUAAAAGUACAAGCAGUGCUAUGACUGGCAGUCAUCAGGACCUCAGUGUGAUACAGCCAAUUGUAAAAGACUGCAAAGAGGCUGAUUUGUCUCUGUAUAAUGAAUUCAGAUCUUGGAAGGAUGAUCCCACAAUGGACAGAACUUGCCCUUUCUUGGACAAAAUCUACCAGGAAGAUAUCUUUCCAUGUUUAACAUUCUCAAAAAGUGAGUUGGCUUCAGCUGUUCUUGAGGCUGUGGAAAACAAUACUCUCAGCAUUGAACCAGUGGGAUUACAGCCUAUUCGAUUUGUGAAGGCUUCUGCAGUUGAAUGUGGAGGACCAAAAAAAUGCGCCCUCACUGGCCAGAGUAAGUCCUGUAAACACAGAAUUAAAUUAGGAGACUCAAGCAACUAUUAUUACAUUUCUCCCUUUUGCAGAUACAGGAUCACUUCUGUGUGUAACUUUUUUACAUACAUACGAUAUAUUCAGCAGGGACUCGUGAAACAGCAGGAUGCUGAAUGUUAUAAAAACUGACAUGGCUUGCCAGCUCCAAAGAAGUGUUUCUUGAUUACGCGUGACUGUUUUAAAAUAGAAAUAGCAGUUGAUCAGAUGUUUUGGGAAGUUAUGCAGUUGAGAAAAGAGAUGUCAUUGGCAAAGCUGGGAUAUUACAAAGAGGAACUCUGAUGCUCUCUCUGCCUGGGAACAUGCAUGAACCUCCCUGAAUAACUGAAAAAUGGCUGAAUAUUUUUAUGGUUACUUGAUAUUUAUUUCCAAGGAGUGGGCCCAAGACUUUUUCACUUUUUUGCAAAUUACACUAAGAAGUACUGUGAUUUGUUUUAAACUGACCUAUGCUGUGUUUGCUUAUUCUUUAGUUGAACACACUAUAAAGAAGAAUUACAGGUGUACUAGUGAUUGUAAUUUAUAGUUGCGCAAAAAAAAAAAAAAAAACCCUAAAUAAAUACAUGUUAGAUUGAAUGUGUUUUUGCCUUCUCUUCUACCUCUGACAUGCCAUAUAGGGUCAACUGAAUUUCAUAUAGUAGUUGUCAAACGGUGCAACAACCUAUGAGAGGCAAGGAAGAAGGUUGGGUGGACAGGACUCAGCUUUCAUACCCUCACUAGAAUGGCUCUGUCUUUAUCUGUUUUAUAUGUUGGGCUUCGAAAAAGAUUUUAUAUGAAGAAAGACUUCUACCAAAAAAAAUUGAAAAGUUACUGGUUUAAUUAUUCUGCUCAGUAAUUUAAAGAACCCCUUUAUUCUGGUUAUUUGUUAAAGGUAAAGGUAGAAGACAGUCAAAUUUUAUCCCAGAGAUGCAUUCUUGAACAAAUUAAUAUAAGGUCUUCAUAUUUUCUAUAUGUUGAGGACUGUAGUAGGGAUGGAGCCCUGGUGGCACAGUGGUUAAGCAUUUGGCUGCUAACCAAAAGGUCAGCAGUUCGAAUCCACCAGCUGCUCCUAGGAAACCUGGCAGUUCUACUCAGUCCUGUAGGGCUGUUAUGUGUCAGAACUGACUCAGUAGCAACAGGUACAGGUAAUAGGCGUUGGAGGGAUAUAAAGGUAAAUAGUGUGUGAUGUGUGCUCAAGGGAGUUUGAAGGUGUGUGGGUUGCAAGAGUAGUACAUGCAAAGUAUAUACUGAUCAUAGAAACACUUCAUCUGUAAGUUCCAAGUUGUAAAACUGAUAUCAUAUAGAGGAGCUACUUACUAAAAUUAAUUCCAAAAGAGGCUCAUGUAGAAAUGAAGUAAAGAAAGGCAGGAAGAAGAAAUGAGAAACCACUUCAAUCUCUCCAUCCAGAGACAGCUACUGUUAAUAUUUUUGGAGAAUAGUCUUUCAGUUUUUAGAAGUUUUCUACCUAGAUAUGCAUACGUCUGAAACAAAAAAAUAGACUUGCUUGCUUUUUUGCCUAAAUACUUUCCCCCUGUUGGUAAGUCUACACCAUCUUGAUCACUGUAUGAUUUUGACAAUAUUUAACUAGUUGUGUUUGGACUUUAAGUUGUUUUCAAUUUUUUUGUAUAUCGUAAUGCUGUGGUAAGUAUCCUUGUGUAUACCUCUUUAAAUAUUGUUAGGCUAUUUCAUUAAUGUGAAUGCCUAGAAGUAAAAUUGCUAUGUUAAGGUGUACAAACAUGUAUUGCAAAAUUUUUGAUCUACAUUACAAAAAUCUCCUUAGAAAAGUGGAACCAGUUUAUAUUCACAGCAGCAGUGUAUGAGAAAGCUGGUUUUCUGAAGAUGCUGUUUUUUCCAAUUCUGUCUCAGAGGUUUGGACAACUUCACCUCCACAAAGUUUGGUCACCAGGCUGGAUGGAAGACCAUAGACAAAAGGCUUAUCAGUGGUAUGGUUGAAACCAUCAUUACCAUGGUUUAGUCAUACCAGCUCAAGAGUCUGAGAUUGAACAUGAAAAGGACUUUGAGCCUGGAAUUUUAUUUCUUGAUAGUUAUUUUAAUGAGAGUGUAAUAAGAAUAUUGUUAAUUAUUCAAAGCUUCAGAAGAUUUUUGACACAAAAACAAAUUGAAGAUCCUUUUGAAGAAAAACAAUAUCAAAAAUGAUGUCACUUCUCUCCAAAUUUAUCUAUAGAUUCAGUGCAUCUCAAAACUAAAUUCUACCAUUUCUCCUGGAAUUGAAAAAUGAUUGGAAAUUUAUUUGGCAGCAUAGAAGAUGGAGAACCACCAAGGCACUCUGAAGAAAAAUUUUGAGGAGGGGAAUUUGUCCUACCACAAGGACUUUGGACAUGGAACUAGGGAUAUGAUUGCUGAUGUCUGAAGGAUCCUGGCUGAAAGAAGAGAAUAUCAGAAGGAUGUUUACAUGUGUUUUAUUGACUAUGCAGAGGCACUCGACUGUAUGGGUCAUAACAAACCAUGGAUAACAUUGUGAAGAAUGGAAAUACCAGAACACUUAAUUGUGCUCAUGAGGAACCUGUACAUAGAGAAAGAGGCCAUCAUUUGAACAGAGCAACAGGAUACUGUGUGGUUUAAAAUCAGGAAAGGUGUGAAUCAGGGUUGUAUCCUUUCACCAUACUUAUUCAAUUGGUAUGCUAAGCAAAUACUCAGAGAAGGAAGACAAUAUGAAGAAGAACGCAGCAUCAGGAAUGGAGGAAGACUCAUUAACAACCUAUGAUACACAGAUGACACAAGCUUCCUGUAAGUGAAGAGGACUUGAAACACUGAGGAAGAUCAAAGACCACAGCCUUCAGUAUGGAUUACAUCUUAAAAUAAAAAUCCUCAGGUAGACCAAUAAGCAACAUCAUGAUAAAGGGAGAAAAUAUUGAAAUUGUCAGGCAUUUCAUUUUACUUGUAUCUGCAAUCAACAAUUGAAGCAGCAGUCAAGAAAUCAAACAAUUACCAGAACUAAAACCAUUUCUGAAGCCCCCUCUUCAGACAAAUUAGACUGGAAUAUAAAACAAAAUAAUACUCGUGAAGAGUGUGUUUCUUAGUUCAAUCAGAUAAACGACACGAAAUGGCUGGCUCCUGUCUGGAAGCAGGAUGAGAAGGCAGGAAGGGACAAGAACUGCUUGAAUGCACACAAGAAACCUGGGGUGGAAAGAGGGGAGUGUGCUGUCGCAUUAUAGGAAUUGUAACUAAUGUCACAUACCAAAACCAACCAAACCCGUUGCCGUCGAGUCAAUUCUGACUCAUAGCGACACUAUAG